rnacentral:rRNA from 1 species
GAACGAACGCUGGCGGCGUGGAUAAGACAUGCAAGUCGAACGGGAUUUUCUUUUGUAGCAAUACAGAGGAAAGUCUAGUGGCGAACGGGUGCGUAACACGUGAGCAACCUACCGUGAAGUGGGGGAUAGCUCGCCGAAAGGCGAAUUAAUACCGCAUGUGGCCAAGGAAGACAUCUUCCUGACGCCAAAGCCGGGGUAACCUGGCGCUUCUCGAGGGGCUCGCGGCCUAUCAGCUUGUUGGUGAGGUAACGGCUCACCAAGGCUAUGACGGGUAGCUGGUCUGAGAGGACGACCAGCCACACUGGAACUGAGACACGGUCCAGACACCUACGGGUGGCAGCAGUCGAGAAUUUUUCACAAUGGGGGAAACCCUGAUGGAGCGACGCCGCGUGGAGGAUGACGGUUUUCGGAUUGUAAACUCCUGUCAUUAGAGAACAAGGCACAUGGUUUAACUGACCGUGUGUUGAUAGUAUCUGAAGAGGAAGGGACGGCUAACUCUGUGCCAGCAGCCGCGGUAAUACAGAGGUCCCAAGCGUUGUUCGGAUUCAUUGGGCGUAAAGGGUGCGUAGGUGGCGAGGUAAGUCGGAUGUGAAAUCUCCAAGCUCAACUUGGAAACUGCAUUCGAUACUGCUUUGCUAGAGGAUUGUAGAGGGCAUUGGAAUUCACGGUGUAGCAGUGAAAUGCGUAGAUAUCGUGAGGAAGACCAGUGGCGAAAGGCGAAUGCCUGGGCAAUUCCUGACACUGAGGCACGAAGGCCCAGGGGAGCAAACGGGAUUAGAUACCCCGGUAGUCCUGGCAGUAAACGGUGCACGUUUGGUGUGGGAGGAUUCGACCCCUUCCGUGCCGGAGCUAACGCGUUAAACCUGCCGCCUGGGGAGUACGGUCGCAAGAUUAAAACUCAAAGAAAUUGACGGGGACCCGCACAAGCGGUGGAGUAUGUGGCUUAAUUCGAUGCAACGCGAAGAACCUUACCUGGCCUUGACAUGCAUCUCCAAAUCCGGUGAAAGCCGGUGAGCGUAGCAAUACGCAAUUUGCACAGGUGCUGCAUGGCUGUCGUCAGCUCGUGUCGUGAGAUGUUGGGUUAAGUCCCGCAACGAGCGCAACCCCUGUGAACUGUUGCCAUGGAGACGUGAGUCUCCGGCACUCUGUUCAGACUGCCCUGUUCAACGGGGAGGAAGGUGGGGACGACAUCAAGUCAGUAUGGCCCUUACGGCCAGGGCUGCACACGUACUACAAUGCCCGACACAGAAGGAUCCGAGACCGCAAGGUGGAGGAAAUCACCAAAGUCGGGCCCAGUUCGGAUUGGAGGCUGCAACUCGCCUCCAUGAAGCCGGAAUCGCUAGUAAUGGCGCAUCAGCUACGGCGCCGUGAAUACGUUCCCGGGUCUUGUACACACCGCCCGUCACAUCAUGGGAGUCGUUUGUACCCGAAGUGCGCGCGCCAACCGCAAGGAGGCAGCGCCCCUAAGGUAUGAGUGGUAACUGGGAU